AGGGCACCACCAGGAGUGGAGCCUGCGGCUUAAUUUGACUCAACACGGGAAAUCUCACCAGGCCCGGACAAUAAAAGGAUUGACAGAUUGAGAGCUCUUUCUUGAUUUAUUGGGUGGUGGUGCAUGGCCGUUCUUAGUUGGUGGAGCGAUUUGUCUGGUUAAUUCCGAUAACGAACGAGACUCUGGCCUACUAACUAGACGUUGGAUCUCUUUGUGGGUCCAUCGCAGCUUCUUAUAGGGACGGGCGGCGGUUAGCCGCACGAGAAUGAGCAAUAACAGGUCUGUGAUGCCCUUAGAUGUUCUGGGCUGCACGCGCGCUACACUGAAGGAAUCAGCGUGUGUACCCUGCCUGAAAAGGCUGGAAAACCCGUUGAACCUCCUUCGUGAUGGGGAUUGGAGAUUGCAAUUAUUCCCCAUGAACGAGGAAUUCCCAGUAGGCGCGAGUCAUAAGCUUGCGUCGAUUACAUCCCUGCCCUUUGUACACACCGCCCGUCGCUACUACCGAUCGAGUGAUUUAAU
rnacentral:rRNA from 1 species